rnacentral:rRNA from 1 species
AUUGAACGCUGGCGGCAUGCCUUACACAUGCAAGUCGAACGGCAGCACGGGGGCAAUCCUGGUGGCGAGUGGCGAACGGGUGAGUAAUAUAUCGGAACGUGCCCAGUCGUGGGGAUAACGUAGCGAAAGCUACGCUAAUACCGCAUACGAUCUAUGGAUGAAAGCGGGGGAUCGCAAGACCUCGCGCGAUUGGAGCGGCCGAUAUCAGAUUAGGUAGUUGGUGAGGUAAAGGCUCACCAAGCCGACGAUCUGUAGCUGGUCUGAGAGGACGACCAGCCACACUGGGACUGAGACACGGCCCAGACUCCUACGGGAGGCAGCAGUGGGGAAUUUUGGACAAUGGGCGCAAGCCUGAUCCAGCAAUGCCGCGUGCAGGAUGAAGGCC